rnacentral:misc_RNA from 1 species
ACUUCACCCCCUUUACACAACCCACCCCCUCACCACCCCCUACCCCCCCCCCCCUAAAUUUUAUUUUUUUUUUUAAAUUCUUUAUCUAUCUUUUAGUUUCAACAUUUCUACAAAACCCACCCCCUACCACCCCCCCCCACACCCCCACCACUAAAAUUUUUUUAUUAUAUUUUCUCCUUUUCUCUACAGUAACCGCACACACCUAGCAACCCCCCUUCUUCACAACCCCCCCCCCCCCCCCCCCCCCAAAUUUUUUUUUUUUUUUUUAUUUAUUAAAAAAAAAAAAAAAAAAAAAAAAAAAAAAAAAAAAAAAAAAAAAAAAAAAAAAAAAAAAAAAAAAAAAAAAAAUACUCUGGAAAUCAAUAAAACACAUAAAUGUAUAAUCAAAAAAAAAAGAUCAAUAUACUCAUAAUUAAAAAAAAAAAAAAAAAAAAAAAAAAAAAAAAAAAAAAAAAAAAAAAAAAAAAAAACCAUAUAUACUUUACUAC